AGUGAACGCUGGCGGUAGGCCUAACACAUGCAAGUCGAACGGCAGCACAGUAAGAGCUUGCUCUUACGGGUUGCGAGUGGCGGACGGGUGAGGAAUACAUCGGAAUCUACUUUUUCGUGGGGGAUAACGUAGCGAAACUUACGCUAAUACCGCAUACGACCUACGGGUGAAAGCAGGGGAUCUUCGGACCUUGCGCGAUUGAAUGAGCCGAUGUCGGAUUAGCUAGUUGGCGGGGUAAAGGCCCACCAAGGCGACGAUCCGUAGCUGGUCUGAGAGGAUGAUCAGCCACACUGGAACUGAGACACGGUCCAGACUCCUAAGGGAGGCAGCAGUGGGGAAUAUUGGACAAUGGGCGCAAGCCUGAUCCAGCCAUACCGCGUGGGUAAAGAAGGCCUUCGGGUUGUAAAGCCCUUUUGUUGGGAAAGAAAAGCAGCAGGUUAAUACCCCGCUGUUCUGACGGUACCCAAAGAAUAAGCACCGGCUAACUUCGUG
rnacentral:rRNA from 1 species